rnacentral:pre_miRNA from 1 species
UACCCUGUAGAACCGAAUUUGUGUGAGCACCUCUAUUGCAAAUUCGUCUCUAGGGGGAUA